CUCACACCUGUAAUCCCAGCACCUUGGGAGGCCAAGGCAGGUGGAUCACCUAAGGUCAGGAGUUCGAGACCAGCCUGGCCAACAUGGUGAAACCCCGUCUGUACUAAAAAUACAAAAAUUACCCGGGCGAGGUGUCACACGCCUCUAAUCCCAGCUACUCAGGAGACUAAGGCAGGAGAAUCGCUUGAACCCAGGAAGCGAAGGUUGCAGUGA
rnacentral:lncRNA from 1 species